rnacentral:rRNA from 1 species
AACGAACGCUGGCGGCAUGCCUAACACAUGCAAGUCGAACGAGACCUUCGGGUCUAGUGGCGCACGGGUGCGUAACGCGUCGGAACCUGCCCUUAGGUUCGGAAUAACUCCCCGAAAGGGGUGCUAAUACCGGAUAAUUUCUUCGGACCAAAGAUUUAUCGCCUUUGGAUGGGCCCGCGUUGGAUUAGCUAGUUGGUAGGGUAAAAGCCUACCAAGGCGACGAUCCAUAGCUGGUCUGAGAGGAUGAUCAGCCACACUGGGACUGAGACACGGCCCAGACUCCUACGGGAGGCAGCAGUGGGGAAUAUUGGACAAUGGGCGAAAGCCUGAUCCAGCAAUGCCGCGUGAGUGAUGAAGGCCUUAGGGUUGUAAAGCUCUUUUACCCGGGAUGAUAAUGACAGUACCGGGAGAAUAAGCUCCGGCUAACUCCGUG